rnacentral:rRNA from 1 species
UACGUAGGGUGCGAGCGUUGUCCGGAAUUACUGGGCGUAAAGAGCUCGUAGGUGGUUUGUCGCGUUGUCCGUGAAAACUCACAGCUUAACUGUGGGCGUGCGGGCGAUACGGGCAGACUGGAGUACUGCAGGGGAGACUGGAAUUCCUGGUGUAGCGGUGGAAUGCGCAGAUAUCAGGAGGAACACCGGUGGCGAAGGCGGAUUGCUGGGCUGACACUGACGCUGAGGCGCGAAAGCUAGGGUAGCAAACGGG